UGGUCCCGCCUUAAAUCAAUUUUUACUUAACUUACACAUGCAAGUCUCAGCACCCCUGGAGAACGCCCUUUAACUCCCAUAGGAACAAGGAGCUGGUAUCGGCUCAACCCUAGCCCAAGACACCUAGCUAUGCCACACCACAAGGAAUCAGCAGUGAUUAACAUUGAACAUAAGCGACAGCUUGAUUCAGUUAAAGUAAAAAGAGCCGGCAAAUCUGGUGCCAGCCGCCGCGUACACCACGUGGCUCAAAUGACUUUCUCGGCGUAAAGCGUGAUUUAAGAGAUCACUUAUGGUGUAAAAACUAAGCGUGACACGCUUGUUAGAACCAAAACGAAAGUACCCAACACUUGAAUCACGACAGCUGAAACAAACUGGGAUUAGAUACCCCACUAUGCUAGCCGUAAACUUUAAUACAUCCAAUCGCCGGGAACUACGAGCAAAGCUUAAAACCCAAAGGACUUGACGGUACCCCAACCACUAGAGGAGCCUGUCCUAUAACGAUAACCCCGUUAACCUCACCCCUUUAGCCUAUCAGCCUGUAUACCUCCGUCGUCAGCUUACCACGUGAGCGCAUCUUAUGAGCUUAAUGUCCACACGCCAAAACGUCAGGUCAAGGUGCAGCACAUAGGGGGGAAGAGAUGGGCUACACUCUCUAAUUUAAAUACCGAAUGACUAUUAUGAAAACUAGUCUAAAGCGGAUUUAGAAGUAAAAAGAAACCACAGUGUUCUUUUUACCCGGCACUGGGGUGUGUACACACCCCGUCACCCUCUUCAAGCCCAACAAGUCUAUAACUACCCUGUAAAGGCAAGUCUACGGUAA
rnacentral:ncRNA from 1 species